AGCAUUUACAUCCGGAGCCAUUUUAUUCCUCAAGAGCAUGCGCUGCAGUUGUCAUGUGCUGCUUUAGCUGAACCCUAUAUUUUGCAAUAACUGAUCUUAAGUAUGUCUCUUCAGCUACUUGCAUUCAUAUUGGGUAUUAAAGCUGAUGUGACGUGAAUUCAAGCUUGAACAAAUUACACGUACUCGCUUUGUAAAUGAGCACGAGCAGCUCACGUGGCAGCAGCGUGGGCAGGCCGUGAAACACGAAGGAGCUGAAACCACAGAUUAACAAAAUAACAUGGUUGUGGCUCAUCAAAUGGAAGGUGACUAGCCUGGAACUGAAGCAAGUUUCCAGUGUUUCACAUAACUUUACAAUGCAUAUUCAUAAUAAAGAAAAACAUUCCCGUUUACCUUUGUCUGAAUUUGAUUUCUUUAAACCAAUUUUUGCACUUUUUGAACUGGAAUGGCCCCUUCCUUAGCCACUUCCAGUAGUGAAAAUAAGUGCUACAUUAUAGUCUUGUCAUAACUGGGGUUUCUUGGCAUUUUCUACCAAGAUGCUCUUUUAAAGCAAGACACAAAUGUAAAAGUUGCAUAAUCUCUACAAAUGGAGAAAAUUCUUUGAUUUGAUUCAAGAAUAUUUUAUUGUCCUGCCACCUUGCUUGUUUGUGGUAUGAGAUUUGGACUUGGGUCCCAGAUUAAGAAAUUUACUACAUAAAAAAAAUAAUGUAAUUGUGAUAUGUAUGUGAAUAAAAUAAAGCAACUUAUUAAAUGGCA